rnacentral:rRNA from 1 species
AUUGAACGCUGGCGGCAUGCCUAACACAUGCAAGUCGAACGGAUCUUGGGGCAACUCAAGGUUAGUGGCGGACGGGUGAGGAAUGCGUCGGAAUCUACCCUAUGGUGGGGGAUAACACAGGGAAACUUGUGCUAAUACCGCAUGAUGUCGAGAGACCAAAGCAGGGGACCCGCGAGGGCCUUGCGCGAUAGGAUGAGCCGACGCCCGAUUAGCUAGUUGGUAGGGUAAAGGCCUACCAAGGCGACGAUCGGUAGCUGGUCUGAGAGGAUGAUCAGCCACACUGGGACUGAGACACCGACCAGACUCCUACGUGAGGCAGCAGUGGGGAAUAUUGGGCACUGGGCGUAAGCCUGAUCCAGCAAUGCCGCGUGUGUGAAGAAGGCCUGCGGGUUGUAAAGCACUUUUGUCCGGGAAGAAGGCACGCUGGUUAAUACCUGGCGUGGAUGACGGUACCGAAAGAAUAAGCACCGGCUAACUUCGUGCCAGCCGCCGCAGUAACAC